AGAAUAACACCUUUAUAAGAUAAAUAAUUUAUUAUAUUAAACAAAGUAAAAAAUUAUUAAAUACAAAAAUAAGAUGGACUAUAUGAAGACUUUACUGCGACCAUAACUUGAUGACUGUGACUAAAAGUUGGUUCUCACUAGCACAGAAUUAUGGCAGAGAAUAUAUGCAAGACAAAAGUAGCACAGCUUUGAUGUCCUACUACAGCGUAAAAACUGCUACCGUCCAGUGUUUAGAUGAAUUCAACUUUUCUGCAGCAGUAAAAUCCGUUGAGAUAACAUUCAUAAAUGAAAUCCAUGCAUUUUGUGACAUUGAAUUGUUGGCAACCUUGACUAAGUAAAGAUAGUGAGAUUCUCUAUCAUUAAAUAUCACCUCUCUAAUCAAAAUUGCAUAGAAACAUUGUUCAUAUUUCUUCUUAUAAAUUUUUUCCAUCC
rnacentral:lncRNA from 1 species